UACGUAGGGGGCUAGCGUUGUCCGGAAUCAUUGGGCGUAAAGCGCGUGUAGGCGGUUCGGUAAGUCCGCUGUGAAAGUCGGGGGCUCAACCCUCGAAAGCCGGUGGAUACUGUCGGACUAGAGUGCGGAAGAGGCGAGUGGAAUUCCUGGUGUAGCGGUGAAAUGCGUAGAUAUCAAGAGGAACACCUGCGGCGAAGGCGGGUUGCUGGGCCGACACUGACGCUGAGGCGCGAAAGCUAGGGGAGCGAACGGG
rnacentral:rRNA from 1 species